UCACCUUUUCACUCCACGCCCAGAAACCUGCUGCAAUGAAGGCAGCUCCAGCCAGCUGAAACACAGAACCAACGUUUAGACGGGUCCAAUGACAGACACACACCAGGAGAACAGAGGAGAACAGAACAGAGAAGAAUAGAACAGAACAGAGGAGAACAAGCAGGAACGCAGAUUGAGAAACACAUUUCCUGCUCCAUCAACCGCACAGGAUACCAUGACAUCACUUCCUGUUAACAGAUAACAGGAAACAGCUUUCAGUCUCAAAGAAAACUAGCCUCUGUCUCAUGUCAACAGGUAAAGAGGUGUAAAGAGGUGUAAAGAUGUGUAAACAGGUAAAGAGGUGUAAAGAGGUGUAAACAGGUAAAGAGGUGUAAAGAGGUGUAAACAGGUAAAGAGGUGUAAACAGGUAAAGAGGUGUAAACAGGUGUAAACAGGUGUAAACAGGUAAAGAGGUGUAAACAGGUAAAGAGGUGUAAAGAGGUGUAAACAGGUAAAGAGGUGUAAACAGGUAAAGAGGUGUAAACAGGUGUAAACAGGUAAAGAGGUGUAAACAGGUAAAGAGGUGUAAAGAGGUGUAAACAGGUAAAGAGGUGUAAAGAGGUGUAAACAGGUAAAGAGGUGUAAACAGGUAAAGAGGUGUAAAGAUGUGUAAACAGGUAAAGAGGUGUAAACAGGUAAAGAGGUGUAAACAGGUGUAAACAGGUAAAGAGGUGUAAACAGGUAAAGAGGUGUAAACAGGUAAAGAGGUGUAAACAGGUGUAAACAGGUAAAGAGGUGUAAACAGGUAAAGAGGUGUAAAGAGGUGUAAACAGGUAAAGAGGUGUAAACAGGUAAAGAGGUGUAAACAGGUGUAAACAGGUAAAGAGGUGUAAACAGGUAAAGAGGUGUAAAGAGGUGUAAAGAGGUGUAAACAGGUAACUCACCCAG